rnacentral:rRNA from 1 species
UGGGGAAUAUUGCACAAUGGGGGGAAACCCGUGAUGCAGCGACGCCGCGUGAAGGAAGAAGUAUUUCGGUAUGUAAACUUCUAUCAGCAGGGAAGAAAAUGACGGUACCUGACUAAGAAGCCCCGGCUAACUACGUGCCAGCAGCCGCGGUAAUACGUAGGGGGCGAAGCGUUAUCCGGAUUUACUGGGUGUAAAGGGAGUGUAGACGGCUUUGCAAGUCAGAUGUGAAAGCCCGGGGCUCAACCCCGGGACUGCAUUUGAAACUGCAGAUGCUAGAGUGUCGGAGAGGUAAGCGGAAUUCCUAGUGUAGCGGUGAAAUGCGUAGAUAUUAGGAGGAACACCAGUGGCGAAGGCGGCUUACUGGACGAUGACUGACGUUGAGGCUCGAAAGCGUGGGGAGCAAACAGGAUUAGAUACCCUGGUAGU